GGCUUGGUCGCACUCGGUGUGCAUCUGCGUGCGGUUUUUUCUUCCACGACUGCAUACAGCAGACAUCGCUCGUUCGACUCGGGCCCAAGCCA